UAUACAAAAUGAUAUAAAUUAGUAAACAUAUCAAUACAUAUAAAGGAACUCGGCAAAUAUUUACUUAGACUGUUUAACAAAAACAUAACUUAUAGCAUUUUUAUUAUAAGCUUAACCUGCUCAGUGAUUAUAAGUUUAACAGCCGCAGUACACUGACUGUGCUAAGGUAGCAUAAUCAAUUGGUCUUUAAUUGGGAUCGGGUAUGAAAGGAUUUACUAUGUAAGACUGUCUUGAUGAAGUAUAUUAUGAAUUUUCUUAAAGGGUGAAAAUUCCCUUGAGUUUAACAAAAGACGAGAAGACCCUUAGACUUUUUUAAAUAUAAAAUUAUAUUUUUAUUAUUUUGUUGGGGCGACAAUGUUUCAAUUUUAAACAAAUAGUUAAAAAUUUAGCACAGGAAAAUAAUUUUAGGAAAGAUUAAAGUACCUGAGGGAUAACAGCAUAAUUAAUUAUUUAGAUUGUGACCUCGAUGUUGGACUAGGUAAUAAACUGUCAAGAAGAUAUUUUAUUUAGUUCUGUUCGAACUAUAUUCACCUA
rnacentral:rRNA from 1 species